rnacentral:tRNA from 1 species
CGGUUGCUGGCGGUGGCCGACCACUGGUCGCUGUUGGCGGCCCAGUCCUCGCCCUGCAGGCUGCCGAUGUACGGAUCUUCGGUGCCCGGC